GGGUUAAGUCCGUAACCGAGCGCAACCCUUGUCCUUAGUUACCUAGCACGUUAUGGUGGGCACUCUAAGGAGACUGCCGGUGACAAACCGGAGGAAGGUGGGGAGUGACGUCAAGUCAUCAUGGCCCUUACGGCCUGGGCUACACACGUGCUACAAUGGUCGGUACAAAGGGUUGCCAAGCCGCGGGGUGGAGCUAAUCCCAUAAAACCGAUCGUAGUCCGGAUCGCAGUCUGCAACUCGACUGCGUGAAGUCGGAAUCGCUAGUAAUCGUGAAUCAGAAUGUCACGGUGAAUACGUUCCCGGGCCUU
rnacentral:rRNA from 1 species